GCCGAACCACCCAAACGUUAUUCGGAAUCACUGGGCUUAAAGAGUGCGUAGGCGGUCAUGUAAGUAGGGUGUGAAAUCCCACAGCUCAACUGUGGAACUGCGCUCUAAACUACAUGACUAGAGGGAUAUAGAGGUGAGCAGAACUGAUGGUGGAGCGGUGAAAUGCGUUGAUAUCAUCAGGAAUACCGGAGGCGAAGGCGGCUCACUGGGUAUCUUCUGACGCUGAGGUACGAAAGCUAGGGGAGCGAACGGG
rnacentral:rRNA from 1 species